rnacentral:rRNA from 1 species
AUUGAACGCUGGCGGCAGGCCUAACACAUGCAAGUCGAGCGGAUGAAGGGAGCUUGCUCCUGGAUUCAGCGGCGGACGGGUGAGUAAUGCCUAGGAAUCUGCCUGGUAGUGGGGGAUAACGUCCGGAAACGGGCGCUAAUACCGCAUACGUCCUGAGGGAGAAAGUGGGGGAUCUUCGGACCUCACGCUAUCAGAUGAGCCUAGGUCGGAUUAGCUAGUUGGUGGGGUAAAGGCCUACCAAGGCGACGAUCCGUAACUGGUCUGAGAGGAUGAUCAGUCACACUGGAACUGAGAAACGGUCCAGACUACUACGGGAGGCAGCAGUGGGGAAUAUUGGACAAUGGGCGAAAGCCUGAUCCAGCCAUGCCGCGUGUGUGAAGAAGGUCUUCGGAUUGUAAAGCACUUUAAGUUGGGAGGAAGGGCAGUAAGUUAAUACCUUGCUGUUUUGACGUUACCAACAGAAUAAGCACCGGCUAACUUCG